AGUUGAGUUACAUAUAAGAAGUUAUUGUAAAAUUUGCAACAGAUACAUUGUUGACUGCUGUAGAGAGCAUUCAAAAUUUGAGUCCCUUGGGUGCAGAACUGGCGGAAUGGCACACAUAUGCCGGACAAAGCACACGCAAAUGUGAAACAGGCAGGAACUUUGGAGAAAAAUAUAAUCGUAUCUGCACUCCACAGGCACACAAAUUUCUCGGGAGAAAAGGUUUUACAAUCUCAUAUUGAAUACCACAUCAACUCCAAGAGAACAAUUUAGUUUCGCUUCACCACAAGGUAUUCAUGGCCGGUGUUUGGUUCCGGUAUCAUUAGUCAUCGUCUCUAAUAAAUUGCAAACUUUCACAAGUGGUUGGAACCUUGAAACCGAAAAGCAUCAUAAGCAUCUGGUACAACCCUUCAUUUUGGAAAGUAAGUGCUCUAAAAUGAACCUAAAGAGAAGGAACCUGAGGAUAAGAUGAGUUUUUAAAGUCUUAUGCCAAAUUAACUAUAUCCUGAAAUUGCUCUGGUAGUUUUGAUGUUGGAUAGUUAACUUUAAUUUUAGAAGUACUAAAAGUCCAUGGUAUACAGAUACACUACUCUGCACUAGAUAGAUAGAUUUACAUGGUACUAUCUUUGCUUAAAUUCAAUUUCACAUUCGCAUAGGUGGGUUUUCGAUUGUGGGUUUCAGAUAUUCCAUGGUUUUGCUAUUUGAUUAUCGUGAUAUAAUUUGGACUAGAGCCUUGAUCUGCUUAAUAAAAACACAUUUACAUGAUAUUAUUUUGCUAUUUGAUUAUCAGUCUGUAACAUAAUCUGGAUUAGAGCCUUGGUCUGCUUAAUUGAGAACACAUUUACAUGAUAUGAUAUAAUGAAUCUGACGUGUCUCUACUUUGUAUCUGCUUCCUAGAGAAUACAUUUACAUGAUUUACUGAAUCAGAUGGAAUACAUUAACACAAGUACAGGCAUGCUGUCCAAGCCGGUACCUGAGGGCUUUCUCAUCAGUCCUGCAAUUUCUUAUUGUUACAAUGUAACAAUUAUGUUAAGCUUGCCAAUUGAUUCCAUAGAAAUAAGGGUAUCUUAAAGUAUCGAAAAUGCUAGUCGGAAAUGGUCCCUAAAAGGUUGCCUUGGUUUAAAGCUUCUGCAAACAUGUUGUCAUCCCGGGGAUUUCAACACGCGAUUGAUUUUUUGCCUAACUUGAGGUCCCAACAACCAACUGAUGAUGCAGUAGUGUUGGGGGAGACUAUUGAAAUUGUUGCCUUGUCGGGUUUUGUUAUUGUUGCCACCUAAGUGAUUAUGCCCAGCUUGAGGUCCCAACAAACAAGCAAUCAAGGCAAUAGUGUUGGGGAUAUCGCUGAGAUUUAUCACCUUGUGAGCUUAUGUUAGUACGAUUGUUGCCACUCAAGUGAUGUUUCCCUGCUUGAGGUUUCAAGAGAAAACACAUUGUUGCCUUACAAGGAAAAGAUUUGAUAGAUGCUUCUGUGAUAGUUAUCAUAGGCUGCAUUUUCCUGAAGCACAAUUUUUAAUCUCACAAGGCUGUCUUUUGACUAUUGUCCUCUUCUGAUCAUUCUCUAUGAUAGAUUGUCUUUUU